rnacentral:lncRNA from 1 species
AGACAAAGGUCUCAAGAAGUCGAUCACAGGAAAGUCGACUGUCAGGAAGUCGAUCCCAGUAAAAAUGGAUCCAACUUUGAAAAGUCGAUGACAAGGCGUCAAACUUCACAAAGUCGGACCACAGUCCAAUGGGGAACGACUUCGAAGGGGACCGACUUUCAGAAAAGUCGGACGCCAAGGAAGUCGAACCCAGUGCAGCCUCAGUAGAGCCCGAUAACAAAAGUCGGACUCCAGAAAGCUGCACCUCCAAGGCUAAAGUCGAAGCCUCACGCACGCUGGAAGUCGAAGCGGAAGAAGCAGGAAGUCGAAGAGAAGGAGCCUGAAAGUCG